CCCCCAGGUUCAAGGAUUUUUACCAGCUGGAGCCCCAGAAGUUCCAGAACAAGACGAACGGGAUCACCCCGAGGCGCUGGCUGGUGAUGUGCAACCCUGGCCUGGCCGAGGUUAUUUCACAGCGCAUCGGGGAGGAUUUCAUUUCCGACCUGGACCAGCUCCGGCGGCUCCGGGACUUCGUGGACGACGAGAGUUUCAUCCGUGAUGUGGCCAAAGUCAAGCAGGAGAACCAGGUGAAGUUCCCGCUGUACCUGGACGAGGUGUCGG